rnacentral:rRNA from 1 species
CCUACGGGCGGCAGCAGUGAGGAAUAUUGGUCAAUGGACGAGAGUCUGAACCAGCCAAGUAGCGUGAAGGAUGACUGCCCUAUGGGUUGUAAACUUCUUUUAUAUGGGAAUAAAAUGUUCCACGUGUGGGAUUUUGUAUGUACCAUAUGAAUAAGGAUCGGCUCACUCCGUGCCAGCAGCCGCGGUAAUACGGAGGAUCCGAGCGUUCUCCGGAUUUAUUGGGUUUAAAGGGAGCGUAGGUGGAUUGUUAAGUCAGUUGUGAAAGUUUGCGGCUCAACCGUAAAAUUGCAGUUGAAACUGGCAGUCUUGAGUACAGUAGAGGUGGGCGGAAUUCGUGGUGUAGCGGUGAAAUGCUUAGAUAUCACGAAGAACUCCGAUUGCGAAGGCAGUUCACUGGACUGCAACUGACACUGAGGCUCGAAAGUGUGGGUAUCAAACAGGAUUAGAUACCCCAGUAGUC